rnacentral:rRNA from 1 species
CGGUAAUUCCAGCUCCAAUAGCGUAUACUAACGUUGUUGCAGUUAAAAAGCUCGUAGUUGGAUUUCCGAUCUUUGCCAAUGGUUGUGUCGCCGCGUGCGAGGCGCCUUGCGCAGAGGUCAACAUAUGUCACGAGCCAGUGUGAUCUAUUCAUUUAGGUCCACUGGGUAAUGACUCGUUUACUUUGAGAAAAUUAGAGUGUUCAAAGCAGGCAUCUGCCUUGAAUAUGUUAGCAUGGAAUAAUAGCAUAGGACUUCGGUUCUAUUUGUUGGUUGUUCGAGAACUGGAGUAAUGAUUGAUAGGGACGGUUGGGGGCAUCCGUAUUCUCAAGCGAGAGGUGAAAUUCUUGGACCUUGGGAAGACGAACAGCUGCGAAAGCGUUUGCCUAGGACGUUCUCUUUAAUCAAGAACGAAAGUUGGGGGAUCGAAGACGAUCAGAUACCGUCGUAGUCUCAACUAUAAACUAUGCCAGCUAGGGAUCGGUGGGUCUUUGUCACGAGUCCAUCGGCACCUUACGAGAAAUCAAAGCAUUUGGGUUCCGGGGGGAGUAUGGUCGCAAGGCUGAAACUUAAAGGAAUUGACGGAAGGGCACCACCAGGAGUGGAGCCUGUGGCUUAAUUUGACUCAACACGGGAAAACUUACCAGGUCCGGACAUAGUAAGGAUUGACAGAUUGAAAGCUCUUUCUUGAUUCUAUGGGUGGUGGUGCAUGGCCGUUCUUAGUUGGUGGAGUGAUUUGUCUGGUUAAUUCCGUUAACGAACGAGACCCGCGCCUGCUAAAUAGUCGGCCUCACUUCUGUGGGUGUUGUACUUCUUAGAGGGACCAUCCUGGGUAUACCGGAAGGAAGUUGCGGGCAAUAACAGGUCUGUGAUGCCCUUAGAUGUUCUGGGCUGCACACGGGCUACACUGCAAGAUACAACAAGCGUCGAUCACGCCUGACUGGAAGGUCCGGCCAAUCUUUGAAUAUCUUGCGUGAUUGGGAUAGACCAUUGCAAUUAUUGGUCUUCAACGAGGAAUUCCUAGUAAACGCGUGUCAACAACACGCAUUGAUUACGUCCCUGCCCUUUGUACACACCGCCCGUCGCUCCUACCGAUUGGAUGUUUCGAUGAGCCGUUUGGAGGACUAAGCUGAAAGCGUCAGCCGGAAGCUACGUCCGAAAUUCUGCAAAUCUGAAUAUCUAGAGGAAGGAGAAGUCGUAACAAGGUAACC